rnacentral:rRNA from 1 species
GACGAACGCUGGCGGCGUGCCUAAUACAUGCAAGUAGAACGCACAGUUUAUACCUUAGCUUGCUACACCAUACACUGUGAGUUGCGAACGGGUGAGUAACGCGUAGGUAACCUGCCUGGUAGCUGGGGAUAACUAUUGGAAACGAUAGCUAAUACCGCAUAAUAUUAAUUAUUGCAUGAUAAUUGAUUGAAAGAUGCAAUGGCAUCACUACCAGAUGGACCUGCGUUGUAUUAGCUAGUAGGUGAGGUAACGGCUCACCUAGGCGACGAUACAUAGCCGACAUGAGAGGGUGAUCGGCCGCACUGGGACUGUGACACGGCACAGAGGCCUACGGGAGGCAGCAGUAGGGAAUCGUCGGCAAUGGACGAAAGUCUGACCGAGCAACGCCGCGUGCGUGAAGAAGGUUUUCGGAUCGUGAAGCUCUGUUGUAAGAGAAGAACGGGUGUGAGAGUGGAAAGUUCACACUGUGACGGUAACUGACCAGAAAGGGACGGCUAACUACGUG